rnacentral:rRNA from 1 species
UACGGAGGGAGCUAGCGUUGUUCGGAAUUACUGGGCGUAAGCGCGCGUAGGCGCGCGGUAUGUCGUGCGUGAAAUCUCCCGGCUUAACUGGGAGGGGCCGUGCGAAACUGCCGGGCUUGAGGUCAGAAGGGGAAAGUGGAAUUCCGGGUGUAGCGGUGAAAUGCGUAGAUAUCUGGAGGAACACCGGUGGCGAAGGCGGCGUCCUGGACCAACACUGACACUGAUGAGCGAAAGCCAGGGGGAGCAAACGGG